rnacentral:rRNA from 2 species
CGCUGGCGGCGUGCCUAAUACAUGCAAGUCGAACGAACUCUGGUAUUGAUUGGUGCUUGCAUCAUGAUUUACAUUUGAGUGAGUGGCGAACUGGUGAGUAACACGUGGGAAACCUGCCCAGAAGCGGGGGAUAACACCUGGAAACAGAUGCUAAUACCGCAUAACAACUUGGACCGCAUGGUCCGAGUUUGAAAGAUGGCUUCGGCUAUCACUUUUGGAUGGUCCCGCGGCGUAUUAGCUAGAUGGUGGGGUAACGGCUCACCAUGGCAAUGAUACGUAGCCGACCUGAGAGGGUAAUCGGCCACAUUGGGACUGAGACACGGCCCAAACUCCUACGGGAGGCAGCAGUAGGGAAUCUUCCACAAUGGACGAAAGUCUGAUGGAGCAACGCCGCGUGAGUGAAGAAGGGUUUCGGCUCGUAAAACUCUGUUGUUAAAGAAGAACAUAUCUGAGAGUAACUGUUCAGGUAUUGACGGUAUUUAACCAGAAAGCCACGGCUAACUACGUGCCAGCAGCCGCGGUAAUACGUAGGUGGCAAGCGUUGUCCGGAUUUAUUGGGCGUAAAGCGAGCGCAGGCGGUUUUUUAAGUCUGAUGUGAAAGCCUUCGGCUCAACCGAAGAAGUGCAUCGGAAACUGGGAAACUUGAGUGCAGAAGAGGACAGUGGAACUCCAUGUGUAGCGGUGAAAUGCGUAGAUAUAUGGAAGAACACCAGUGGCGAAGGCGGCUGUCUGGUCUGUAACUGACGCUGAGGCUCGAAAGUAUGGGUAGCAAACAGGAUUAGAUACCCUGGUAGUCCAUACCGUAAACGAUGAAUGCUAAGUGUUGGAGGGUUUCCGCCCUUCAGUGCUGCAGCUAACGCAUUAAGCAUUCCGCCUGGGGAGUACGGCCGCAAGGCUGAAACUCAAAGGAAUUGACGGGGGCCCGCACAAGCGGUGGAGCAUGUGGUUUAAUUCGAAGCUACGCGAAGAACCUUACCAGGUCUUGACAUACUAUGCAAAUCUAAGAGAUUAGACGUUCCCUUCGGGGACAUGGAUACAGGUGGUGCAUGGUUGUCGUCAGCUCGUGUCGUGAGAUGUUGGGUUAAGUCCCGCAACGAGCGCAACCCUUAUUAUCAGUUGCCAGCAUUAAGUUGGGCACUCUGGUGAGACUGCCGGUGACAAACCGGAGGAAGGUGGGGAUGACGUCAAAUCAUCAUGCCCCUUAUGACCUGGGCUACACACGUGCUACAAUGGAUGGUACAACGAGUUGCGAACUCGCGAGAGUAAGCUAAUCUCUUAAAGCCAUUCUCAGUUCGGAUUGUAGGCUGCAACUCGCCUACAUGAAGUCGGAAUCGCUAGUAAUCGCGGAUCAGCAUGCCGCGGUGAAUACGUUCCCGGGCCUUGUACACACCGCCCGUCACACCAUGAGAGUUUGUAACACCCAAAGUCGGUGGGGUAACCUUUUAGGAACCAGCCGCCUAAGGUGG